GAUGUGUAUAAGAGACAGUUAAAAAGCUCGUAGUUGGACUUCUGGUUUAAUGCACCUGGCCCGCGGCCCACAAGGCCUGUGAGUGCCGGCGCGCGUUUACCAUCCUUCCAGCAACGGCUACCCUUAACUGGGCGGCUGGAACUGGAUCCGGUCAGAGGUGAAAUUCUUGGAUUCGGUCAAGACUAACUUAUGCGAAAGCAUUCACCAAGGAUGUCUUCUUCUGUCUCUUAUACACAUCUCCGAGCCCACGAGACUGGUGGUAAUCUCGUAUGCCGUCUUCUGCUUGAA
rnacentral:rRNA from 1 species